UAUCAGGAAUUACACUUUGAAAAGCCAAACAAGCAAUCAUUUGAAAUUCAGUUUAAUAAUAAAAUCAAUACACACCUCAGUAAAAUAAGAGAAAACAUUGUGAAUAAGCUUCGUGCACAGCCCAAAUCUAUGUUCACCUGGCUAUUUGUUUCACGUUUCCAUUCCCAUUUUUUGCUUCCCAGCAGUAGUGAUAGAUCCAAAUACCACUGAUGGGUUUAAGCUGUGAGGAUCUCAUCUCUGUGCCUGAAACACAAGGCUUCGCCAAUCGCGAGAAAUGAGACACUGUGUGAUAACCAAACCAUGACACAACGGACUGGAAAUUUCAGAUUAAUAAACCUCUUUCGGAUGGGAACUAAAUAACUUUUGCAGUUUUAUCUGUGGCUAUUUGUUUCUUCGAAGAUUUAUGGUCCUCGCAACGGAUAUGCAUCUUAUCUUUCACUCCUCAGAUUAAAGGAAGACGAUUUGAAGCAGGCGUCUGACUGGCAUCAUCUGGAAUUGCAGAUGAUCUUCCUUUAAAAAAAAAACGCUGCAAGUGAACUUGCAAGUCAAAUGAGAAUAUCAUUACAUGUGUCAGGGACUGGGAAAGAAAUCUGCAUCCAGCUAAACAGGGCUCGUCCCUCUCGUUGCGACCCGGUGUCCUCGAGCAGCCCUUUGCCAGCCCGGUGCGAUCCGUAAUGCUUAACGGGGAAUUAAAACUUCUCGUGCUGCUGCUGCUUUAAUUGAUUGAUGCUAAAAGUUUAGAAACUAAAAUCUAAGCAGCUCUUACAAAGCUCCUUUAACCAAGCCUUCCCCUUUGAAAGCCGGAUCCUCAAUUGAAACUGGCAGCCCACAUUUUUAGGUUUCAAGCAGCUCUGUCAUUCUACGAGGAAUGUGUCUGCCACUUCACACGAUAGCUUGAGCUGAAAGACAUGUACUUUGAAUCAGAGAAUCAAUAGAACACUUAAUGGACAAUUAGGAGAACAGCUGUAGGACUGUCAAAGGCCCAUCUGUACACAGCUCCGGCAGCCUCGCCUGGACAGGGCACUGCACACAGCUUUCUGCCCCGGGGCACCGGCUCCCAUUACAAAAUCCCCCUUUCAUUUCACAUUUAAUGUUAAUAUAGUGUGCUUUUUUUCAUUACAAAUUUUAACACGUGUAGAAAAUUAUGGAGAUUGCUCGGGCCAUUUGUCAGCUCACAUCAUGUGAAUUGAUCAAUAAAUUUCACCACUUUGUUGUUAAUGUAGAUAAAUUUUGGCAUUUAAUUAAGCUACAGCGAAAACGUGGCCACUUUUAAUUUCAGCAGAUGCUACCUUUUCAUCUGUAAUCCGGGGCUGCAUCGGCAAUGCAAUCCAGCCGCUAAAUAUUUAUAGACAACAUGACAAUUCCUGAAAGAGUUAUCAUCGACGGUUUUGGUUCUGCAACAAUUAGCGUUGUUUGAAGGAGCUCAUGUGGAAAGCCAAAAUAAAUUCCGAGCAGCAGAUGAAGUUACGGCUCUACAGAUGCAUUGCAUGUAUAUAAAGCGCAUAAAUCUAUGCGCUGCAAACACGGGGAUUAUUAUAGGAAUACCGUCCGUGGCAUUAUGCACACAAACCCAUGUAAAUUCUGGUAAACAGGCACUAAUCCCCGCGUGCGUAAACUCUCACGUAUCACACCGACAUCUGUACGGAUAUCGCCGCGAAUUAGACCUGCAAACCAAUAUUUAUCCUUAACGGAGCUGCUUUGCCAAAACGCAGUGGCAGAGAUUGAUCUCGGAAAUUAACAGCGCAGAAGGAAACGUUCCGUGUAUAAACAGUGUACGUAAAAUAACUCAGUUGAAGAGUUGAAGAAGGCGCCGCUGCUUAGAAAAUGUUAUCGAAGUUUUUUCAAAUUACCCAGCAAAUUUCUAAAGCCGCAACGACGCGGGGAUCAGCCUCAAAACUCCCGGAUAUUUUUUAAGCCCGCAGUUUUGGCCAGACAAUAAGAAACACAAAUGAACAUUUGAGGCUUUCUAUAUGGCCUGAGGGACCCCGAGAUGAAAUCCUGCCUCUGACAGCCAGAGGCCCCAGACGCCACGCUCAGCAGCGGGGCCUGACAUGACAAAGUGCCGCCCGCGCCGGAGCGGGCAGGGGGAGGCGGCUGCUGCUGCCAGCGCCUCUGGGCGAGGAGAGGGCUUCCAAUCCCACCGCUGCUCCCACUGCAUCCCCCUGAUGAAGCGCACUCCCAUCCUGAGCUGGGAUUUCUGUUGUUUAGAGGACAACCUUGCUAUGGGCAUGAACUUGCCUUAGGGAAGACACAACUACGCGGGGAAAUUCGUGGUGGACACGCAGCCCUCAUCCUUAUGGGGUGCUCUCCAGAACUGGAGCUGGCAGGUUCAGCAUCUCCCCACGCUCAGGCAGCAAAACAGCCCCACACCCAGGCACCAGAAGGGCAGACAUCCUGCGUGCCGUUGGGAAAACUCCUGUUGUUGUGACUCCUGGGUGAACUGCUCGGUGUCCAUUCCUAGCUAAAAGCUUCUAACUCAGGGAAGAAAAAAACACCGAGGAAACAAAAAGCCCAACACACUCAGACACCAAUCAUUUUUAAAGUGGAGUUUCUGUUUUUUUUGUGGAUUUGUCGCCACUGCAGCAUGUUUUAUUUUCAGGUUUGCAGAGGAGCUGGUCAGCAGAUUUCUUGAAGUUGCUGGGGAGCGUAGUGAAGGGGACAAGAAAAGUGUUCCAAGUGAGACUGGCUGGCUUCUGGCCAAGGAGCUGCUGCUCGCCCAGAGGGAGCAGGGAGCCCAGAUGCUGUAGCUGUGGUUUAUGUGCAGGAGCUGAACCACAGGGAGUUAUCCGGGCAGUACAGAGCAUACUCAGUAAAUAAGGAUCAUUCUACCCAAAUCUGAAGUCAUUGAAAUUACCUCUCCACCCCCUCGCCACUAACGCAGGAAGUGUGGUCUCAGCUUACCAUGAAGCACCACCACGUACUCCUCCCAGGGUCCAUGCAACUUCCACCCAGAAGCUGCUGCUUCUGCACGACACAACACAGGAAGACUCCAUUCUGCCAAAAUAGGCCUGUCGAGGUGGAGCAGAGAUCCACCAGUACAACAGCUCCAGCACCUCGCCACGUGAGUCACACUCAGCAGCAAGAAGAGCAACAUCAGCAUCAGUUCCUAGGAAAACCAUCCUAGGUAUCUGCAACAGGGGCAUAUCGUUACUCAGGGACCGCAGAAGGAAGGUGCAGGUGUUUACCUGGGUAUUUAAAUGCCAAUUAUAUAUGGCAGCUGAAGGCAGUUAAUGACUAUAAGAAGCAGUGGUUCAUGGAUAAAUACCCCCCCCCCCUUGAAGCAUAUUGCCUCUGCCAUCACAGAGGGACUCUUUCCUGAGAGAAAAAAACAGCUUUGAUGGAGGGUAGGUCAGAUGCAUUCAGUUUGUCCAGCUUAUGGCAGAGCCUCAGUCUGCUGGUGGGACAGGAUCCCCCCAGAAUGCUGCUGCUGCUGAAGUGCCUGUGAUGCUGCCUGUCCCAGCCUGGGGGAGAGUUGGACCUCCUGGCAUGCCCUACUCUCAGUGCUCUGCUGCUCUGAUCUCAAAGGAAGAAGGGGAUGGAAGGAGCGAUCUGAGACUUCAAGGCCAGCGGCCAGCAGAGGCCCCAGUGAUCUCAAUGAAAGAGGGGAUUUGCAGGGGAGUCCUGGAAAGAGGCAGCAGCAGCAACAGCGAUGACACAAAUUAAUUGCACAGUUUUCAGGAGAUAAUGCAGACGAGGUAAAAAGAAUUACUACGCGAUUAACAUAGUUUCCAAUUAAAGUCCCCUGUAGUUACUGAAAAACAUUAAUUUCUAGUAACUUGGUAAUUUAACUUGUGUCACCACUGUACACGGAUCUCCUGCACCAGGCCAACGAGUGGGCUCAGUGCUGGAGCCUUGCAUGAGAAACAGGAAAAACAAUCUGAAAAUAGCCGUCAGUUUUUAAUAGCCACUUGUAGCCGGCUUCUAACAGAACGCCGUUGUGGUGAAGAGAAGGGCUUGGAACAGAUUGCAGAGCCAAAGCGAACAACGGCAGCCCUCAGUCUGAAAGGACUAUCUGAAUAAACUCUGCGUGCUUCAGCCACUGCGUUUCUUUAUGAACGCGUUGCAAGAAGACUGGCACAGAUGGAACGAUUUCUCCCCUUUAAGUUUGCUGUCGGGAUGGCAGACUGACAUUUUUCCUUCUCACACGUACGCUGCAGCUCUCAUUUCUGUGUGAUCGUUCCCAUUACAAAACCACCGACCCAAAGGCCUCGAGCAGCCGCUCCUUUCUGCUGGCUGCGAGGUCAGAGCCAGCCCAGUGGGCAGCUGCAGGCAGCCAGGGCAGCUUGGGAUGGUGGAUUUGUCCCUUAGCUCCCAGCUGGCUCCUGGUGUAGGCCUGGAGGAACUCUGGAGACACGCCAUGCUCUACAGGUACCUGCAUUUUCAGAAACAGAAAUGACCCAUUCAGGAGUAAGUCCGCUGCACAGCUCUGUGUUUUCAUGCAGCUGAGUACCACUCCGAACUUCAUUACAAGUAUUGCAGGCUCCUGUGCAUUAAAGCCUCUAAAGCUUAUUACAUUUUAUUAUUAUGGCUACAACAACAGAAGUUGUAAAUGGAAAAGGCAUUAUUGACUCAACUCAUCGGCUGAAUGCAGGAUUGCUCUUUGCUGUCUGUGUCGGCCUUUGGGCCAGGCUGGUUGGCAGCAGCCCGACAUCGGCCUCCCAGUGCUCCUUCAAACACAGAAGCACAGUACAGCUCCGUGCCUCGUUUCCUGGCUGCUGUCACCCAGAGGACCCAGGGGACAGCCAUGCAUUUUUUGCUGAAGCUCCGUGAAUUUGAGCCUCACUAACCGGGACUCUCCUAUUUCCCAGUUCUUAGUGACAUACCCAAUUCUCCUCAUUUUGACAUCUAAAUUCCAUAAAUACGUUGUUUACUCCCUCUUCUGGGCUAUUAAUGAAAAAAAUUAAGCUCCAAGCCAAACAUCCUCACAUAUAUGCAGCAUGUAAAAAUAUUAUGCCAAUUAUUGGUGUGAUUUAACCGUGCAGAGGUUACUAAUUUAGACAAACGACGUGUAGCUUUGUUUUCUGUGUCUGAAAACGAUGAAACCACAAAUAAUCUCACUUUGGCUUCUUGGAAUAUUAACUCAAUUAGCACCUGAAAGCGCGCAGUCCAGCCCUGACACGUGCACGCUCUGGCUCUGCCUGCAGCCCAACUAUCCGUCAUUUCUUUCUCAUACAAGGGAAAAAGGCACUUGAACGAAUACAUGCGCUGCUUAUUUGGAGAGACAACAUUUGUGCCUUCUGUGCCUGAAUGGCACUUAGC